CUUUAAAGGUAUAUACAUAUCACAACAUUAAAUAUGAAUAAUAUAUUUUUAAAAUAUUCUCGGUUUGCAUUUAGCAACUUCAGCACAAGUACAGCCUAACUUUAAGCCAGAGAGCCUGUUCUGCACCAGACCAGUGGAGCCAGACUGCAGCUAGAGCCCAUCAUCAUCCUCAUCUGGUUGUAAGUAGGCAAUCUAGUAUAUUAUCCGUGGCACUAAGCUCUAAUUUACCUCACAUUAAAGAAACACUAUAGUCCCCAGAACCACUUCAGCUUAAUGUAGUGGUUCUGGUGUCUAUAGCCUGUCCCUGCAGACCUUUUAAUGUAAAAACGGUGGCACUGCAGCACUGGCGUUAGUUAAGAUGGCAAAUCAUAUGGGUGGUGCAUUGUGAUGUUACAUGGGGGGGCGGCAAACUUUACUUUUGCCUAGGGCGGCAAAAAUCCUUGCACCGGUCCUGGCUAG